rnacentral:rRNA from 1 species
UGGAGAGUUUGAUCCUGGCUCAGAGUAAACGUUGGCGGCGUGCCUAACACAUGCAAGUCGAACGAUCUCCUUGUAGCUUGCUAUUUGGAGAGAGUGGCGAACGGGUGAGUAACACGUGGGUAAUCUCCCCUCGAGUGAGGAAUAACUCCGCGAAAGCGGAGAUAAUACCGCAUAAUAUUCUGGAGCAUAUGCUUUCAGAAUCAAAGCUUUCCGAGCAAUCGGAUGGCGCUUGAGGAUGAGCCUGCGUCCUAUUAGCUAGUUGGUAGGGUAAUGGCCUACCAAGGUAAUGAUGGGUAGCCGGCCUGAGAGGGUGUACGGCCACACUGGGACUGAGACACGGCCCAGACUCCUACGGGAGGCAGCAGUGGG